CGGCGUGCCAGCGGGAACGUCUCGUGAACGUCGUCGGCUGCGGCGGUGUUCUUGUGUGUGAGAAAGAUAGAUCGUACAUCUAGAUAGAUCGGACAAGGCAUUCGCUCGAGGUGGAGCUUCGCGCAAGACCUGCAAAGCAGUGGCUGCUCACCAUCAAGAUUCUCAUCAUGGCAAGGGCCGGCACAAGAUUUAUCAUCACCGAGCAAAGGGACCUGGCUCCAACAAAGGAAAAAACCGAGAGCUUCAAUGAAGCGCACAAAGGGAGCAUAAACGCCACAUUGGUAAGCGACAGUGAGCUGCUCAUAAAGAUCGACAAUGAAGAAGCGGCAAGAGCCGCGACCGCGAAGGUUGAGGGAGUAGGACAUGCUUCAUUGUCUGUCCAAACCAAUGUCCACAAAGACCGUAUUCAAAUGGUCUUUGAGAAAAAAGAACUUGGCGGGCCUUCAAAAGACGGCGAGACUAAGUAUGGCACAGCCAUCACUGUGAUAUUCGUGAACAUGGACGAGGGGCUGGUGCGAAAGGUCGCAAGGCUUAUUAUUUCUUCACUGUAAAUAAACUAUCACGCUCGAACAGCAAAGCCUCCCCGAGUGAUGGCAAAGUCAACUCCCCCAACCUAAUGUGUUGAAUGAGCUCCGCACUGUUUGCAUUUUGUGAACGCUGUCUUUGAUUUUUUUGUUCGCCCUACAUUCGAGGUUAUAUAUCUUUUUGUUGGCUUCAGACUUUAGGGGGUCAGCUUAGCAUUGGGGUCGGCCUAGAUUCGAGCAAAUACGGUAUAAGAAAAUUCUUCCAAGCGGACAAUUCUAUGACGUCACAUGAAACGUGCACACAUG